rnacentral:rRNA from 1 species
UACGGGGGGGAGCAAGCGUUGUUCGGAUUUACUGGGCGUAAAGGGCGCGUAGGCGGCCCGCUAAGUCGAACGUGAAAUCCCUGGGCUCAACCCAGGAACUGCGUCCGAUACUGGUGGGCUUGAAUCCGGGAGAGGGAUGUGGAAUUCCAGGUGUAGCGGUGAAAUGCGUAGAUAUCUGGAGGAACACCGGUGGCGAAGGCGACAUCCUGGACCGGUAUUGACGCUGAGGCGCGAAAGCCAGGGGAGCAAACGGG